UUUAAAUCUGGUAUUUAUUUUUCCCCCUAUUGCUAGAGAAAGUAAAAAAAAAAAAUGUACUAGCCUAUUUUAUUGACCUUUUUUCUACCCCAUCUAGCUUUUGGGCUCCUUGAAGCAAUAAUAAAAGUCGAGGCGUUUUACAGAGCAGUGGCGUCCCUUCACCUGGAGUACAAUACCUGCUGGUAUGAAAUGAUAUUUCCAUCAGAGAGAUGGGUAGCUUGCCCAGAUGCUGAGCUGUGCAUUUCUAUCAGGAAAGAGCCGAUGGUGAAAUAUGUGUUGAGAGGCUUCAUUGCUCCAGAUGCUGUUCAGAAAGGGACAGGAUAGUUUGCUGCUGGGGUUAUGGACUUAUUGUGUUGCUCAUCACAUAAGACACGUGGAGCUAUUCCAGUCACCUGCUGUCUAUCUUACCUACUGCUGUAGCUAUCUGGCAGCCACAAGGCAGCUUGAAUGAUUCAGAGCAGGGGUUGGAACAACUGAAGAAACACAGAUUUCCUAAUCUGCUUUCUAAUUAAUUAAAGUUCAUAUAUGCGGUGUUGUUUCUCAAGCUGCAAAAAUCGUGUGUUGUGCAGGCUACUCUGCAAUUCCCGCUCUAUUAUGUGCUGCAUAGAGGGGAAGAUAUAUUUAUUGUUCAGCUCCACAAUACCAAUUUUAUUUUAACUCUCUUAACACUUCAGCUGUUAAAACUCAGAAAUGUUACGGUGCAACUGAAAUAGAUUCAAUUAUCUUGAAAUUCGUUGGAUACAGUUGCAUCUCGGUGUCCAUCUUUCAACUGCUGUUUGGUACUGUAUAAAUUAAGUAGCAUUAUGACAAUGACAGUAAUAUCAUGGGAGAGACCCAAGUUGUUAGUGUACAGCAUUAGAAGUAGAUUAAUCUGAUUAAGCUUUAAUAUAAAAAUAAAUUGUAUUUGCAAUUCA
rnacentral:lncRNA from 1 species